UUCAUUGCUAGUGCUAUCUCCAUGGCACGCUUCAGGUCUAUCUCAACUUCUGCAAGUAAAUGGCGCUGAAUGGCAUCAUAGUUUAUGCCACAAACCAAAGGAUCUCGCAAUAUGACGUUUAAAGUAUCACCAAAGUCACAGUGCCCUGUUAGCUGUUUUAACUUUGCAAUGUACAUUGAGGUUGACUCACCGGGGGCCCUUAUUUGAAAGUUAAACUUGAAUCUUUGCAUGAUCACAGAGGGUUUAGGCUGAUAAUGUCCUUUCAUGAGGUCUACUAGCUCGGUGAAGGAUCUGGAAUUUGCCGCAUUUGGACCCAUCUAUCUACGGAUUAGGGUAUAGGUUUUGCUCCCGCAGACACUUAAGAGAAUUUCCUUCUGUUUUUCCUCCAACAUUAUUUUGUUAGUUACAAAGUAGAAACCUAAUCGACAAAUGUAUUGACUCCAGUCUUCGACGGAUGAAUCGUAGGCGUCAACUCUACUGAAGAGUGACAUUGCUGAUGAUGUGCUCAGAUUGUGUUUCUCAAACCUUGUUGAUUGAGAGACCCCUUUUCCAAUGGAUUAGCGAUCACAGACUCCCCAAUAUGACCUAAAUUAUAAUACAACAUCAUACAAAAGCAUAUAAAGAGUGUUUUAAUAAUGCAAUCAAGAAAGCUGGCGGGAUUUUCCAGCCGCUAUGGCAGGCCUCGCCGCACGGGAUGCACCGGACCAGCCAAAACUCCAUUGACUAUCGGUAGGACCGGAAGAUCUCAAUGGCAGAAAAUCCUGGCCUCUAUAUUUAAUCAAAAGCCCUUCAUCUU